GUCCACCGACAAGGAGCUGCUGAUAACAACGGAGAAUAAGGAAAGCUCCUUUUUCUGUGAGAUGGUAAACCCUGUCAGCAGCAGCUCCAGUGAAACAGUGGAAAACCCCUUUAUCAGAGAUAACUCCUCACUAAAGCAAAGUGGAGGAAAAACACCUGAACCAGGUUCUGAAGAUGAGAAACAAAGCUGAAACACCCUUCAUCCAUGUGUGUAACUGCUGUGAGUUGGUCCUCUAUGGGAAAAUGUUACAAACCUAAAAGCUGUUUAACUUGAAGAUGAAUAUUAGAGAGUAAACUGAGAUUUCAAAUGCUGGUGGAGACCUAAGCAACAGUCUCCUGUAGGUGGACAGUUGUCUCUGUCUGAGCAUAAUGUUGAGGAAGCAGGAGGAACAUCUGCUGACAGGAGAGAAACAUGAAGGGAUGAACUGGAACACUAAAGGACCUAAGCCUGCCUCACUCUAAUCCUGCCUUAUGGAGAAAUAUUUACUUCUUUGUCUUAAUUUAAACACAACAGCAAUAACUUUAUUGUUUUGUUUU